rnacentral:rRNA from 1 species
AUUGAACGCUGGCGGCAGGCUUAAAACAUGCAAGUCGAACGAGUGGCGGACGGGUGAGUAAUGUCUGGGAAACGGCCCGAUGGAGGGGGAUAACUACAGGAAACGGUAGCUAAUACAGCAUACCAUCGGAUGUGCACAGAUGGGAUUAGCUAGUAGGUGGGGUAACGGCUACCCUAGGCGACGAUCCCUAGCAGGUCUGAGAGGAUGACCAGCCACACUGGAACUGAGACCCGGUCCCGACUCCUACGGUAGGCAGCAGUGGUGAAUAUUGCACAAUGGGCGCAAUCCUGAUGCAGCCAUGCCGCGUGUAUGAAGAAGGCCUUCGGGUUGUAAAGUACUUUCAGCGAGGAGGCGUUACUCGCAGAAGAAGCACCGUCUAACUCCGUGCCAGCAGCCGCGGUAAUUC